AUCUAGUUGACGAGUCCCAAAUAGGACGAAACGCGUGUUAAACUGAAU
rfam:Schistosoma mattheei strain Denwood, Zambia genome assembly, scaffold: SMTD_scaffold0015316